rnacentral:rRNA from 1 species
UCGUAACAAGGUUUCCGUAGGUGAACCUGCGGAAGGAUCAUUAUCAGAGUAAAACGGGUAUUUUUAUGCCCACUACUCCCACCCUUUUGUUUAUCAAAUCAAAAUCUUCAGUUGCCUUGGUGGGGAGAGAUCAACCUCUUUUUGUUAAGAGGCCCCCUAUCCACCAAGGGAACUAACCAAAACUCUUAUAACAGUUGUCAUGUCUGAGAACAAAACAAAAUAAAUUAAAACUUUCAACAACGGAUCUCUUGGUUCUGGCAUCGAUGAAGAACGCAGCGAAAUGCGAUAAGUAAUGUGAAUUGCAGAAUUCAGUGAAUCAUCGAAUCUUUGAACGCACAUUGCGCCCCUUGGUAUUCCGAGGGGCAUGCCUGUUCGAGCGUCAUUUCAAACCCUCAAGCUUUAUUUUGCUUGGUAUUGGGCUUAUCGUCCGCCUAAGGACGUGCCUGAAACUCAUAGGCGGUUGUUCACAGCUCCUUAACGUAGUCAAUUUGUUUUUACAUCGUUAUUUGGAGGUCUGAGUUCGACUCGCCUGACAAAAAACCAUUUUUACUUUUAAAGGUUUGACCUCGGAUCAGGUAGGGAUACCCCUGAACUUAAGCAUAUC